GCCCAAGAGAUCGGGAUAACACCUGGAAACAGAUGCUAAUACCGGAUAACAACAGAUGAUGCCUAUCAACUGCUUAAAAGAUGGUUCUGCUAUCACUCUUGGAUGGACCUGCGGUGCAUUAGCUAGUUGGUAGGGUAACGGCCUACCAAGGCGAUGAUGCAUAGCCGAGUUGAGAGACUGAUCGGCCACAUUGGGACUGAGACACGGCCCAAACUCCUACGGGAGGCAGCAGGU
rnacentral:rRNA from 1 species